UGGAGAGAUGGCUGAGUGGUCGAAAGCGACAGAUUGCUAAUCCGUUGUACGACAAAAACGUACCGAGGGUUCGAAUCCCUCUCUCUCCGU
rnacentral:tRNA from 3 species